rnacentral:rRNA from 1 species
UACAGAGGGGGCAAGCGUUGUUCGGAAUUACUGGGCGUAAAGGGCGCGUAGGCGGCCUCUUAAGUCGAACGUGAAAUCCCCGGGCUCAACCCGGGAACUGCGUCCGAUACUGGGAGGCUUGAAUCCGGGAGAGGGAUGUGGAAUUCCAGGUGUAGCGGUGAAAUGCGUAGAUAUCUGGAGGAACACCGGUGGCGAAGGCGGCAUCCUGGACCGGUAUUGACGCUGAGGCGCGAAAGCUAGGGGAGCAACGGG